CUUCAUUAAUGACUAUACUAUGCCUGUGGCUCCUCUUACAAAAAGGGAUAUGUGGCAACUGGGUGGAACAGGCGACUGCUUUCUAGCCCCAGCUGCACUGCUAACUAGCUGUGGGACUUUGGACCAGUUCUUCAACCUCUCUGGAUCAGGGCUUCUACACAGACAGGAGGAGAAGGUCCUUGCAACACUCUCAGAGAAGGAAGUGAGUACAAGACCCGGGGAAACGAACGCCAGACCUCUUCCCAGGGCGAAGAGCCAGGAUAGGAGGAGUGUACCAAGAAAGUGAGAAGGCGCUGCCCAGCCCUCGCGGAUCACCAGGGAGCAGAUCCCAUCCCCAAGGCUGGGAAGGAUCCCAACAAACCCGAGCGCAAUUCUCACCCCACACCCCACCUUUUCUAGACUCCCAGACAGCCGGGAAGCUCUAAAAAGCCCUGCGGGAAAAAUAAAGAUUUCUUUCCCAGA